GACGAACGCUGGCGGCGUGGAUUAGGCAUGCAAGUCGAACGGUAUCAUCCUUUCGGGGGUGAGAGAGUGGCGAACUGGUGAGUAACACGUAGGUUAUCUACCCUCAAGACGGGGACAACCCAGGGAAACUUGGGCUAAUACCGGAUGUGAGCAACUUUUUAGUUGUUUGAAAGGUGGCGUAAGCUGUCGCUUGGGGAUGAGCCUGCGUCCUAUUAGUUAGUUGGUGAGGUAACGGCUCACCUAGGCAAUGAUAGGUAGGCGGCCUUAACGGGUGGUCGCCCACACUGGGAUUGAGAUACGGCCCAGACUCCUACGGGAGGCAGCAGUCGAGAAUAGUCUACAAUGGUCGGAAGACUGAUAGUGCGACGCCGCGUGAACGAUGAAUCCCUUCGGGGUGUAAAGUUCUUUUGUGCGGGAAGAUAAUGACGGUACCGCAAGAAUAAGCCCCGGCUAACUUCGUG
rnacentral:rRNA from 1 species